AAUAAAAUGCCUGAGUAAAGGAUUAUCAUGAUAUGAUAAAUUAAGUAUUUUUACUUUUAUUA
rnacentral:tRNA from 1 species